rnacentral:rRNA from 1 species
GAUGAACGCUGGCGGCGUGCCUAAUACAUGCAAGUCGAGCGAACGGAUAAGGAGCUUGCUCCUUUGAAGUUAGCGGCGGACGGGUGAGUAACACGCGGGUAACCUACCUAUAAGACUGGAAUAACUUCGGGAAACCGGAGCUAAUGCCGGAUAACAUUUGGAACUGCAUGGUUCUAAAGUAAAAGAUGGUUUUGCUAUCACUUAUAGAUGGACCCGCGCCGUAUUAGCUCGUUGGUAAGGUAACGGCUUACCAAGGCAACGAUACGUAGCCGACCUGAGAGGGUGAUCGGCCACACUGGAACUGAGACACGGUCCAGACUCCUACGGGAGGCAGCAGUAGGGAAUCUUCCGCAAUGGACGAAAGUCUGACGGAGCAACGCCGCGUGAGUGAUGAAGGUUUUCGGAUCGUAAAACUCUGUUAUUAGGGAAGAACAAAUGUGUAAGUAACUGUGCACAUCUUGACGGUACCUAAUCAGAAAGCCACGGCUAACUACGUGCCAGCCGCCGCGGUAA